rnacentral:rRNA from 1 species
UACCAGCACCCCGAGUGGUCGGGACGUUUAUUGGGCCUAAAGCAUCCGUAGCCGGUUCUACAAGUCUUCCGUUAAAUCCACCUGCUCAACAGAUGGGCUGCGGAAGAUACUAUGGAGCUAGGAGGCGGGAGAGGCAAGCGGUACUCGAUGGGUAGGGGUAAAAUCCGUUGAUCCAUUGAAGACCACCAGUGGCGAAGACGGCUUGCCAGAACGCGCUCGACGGUGAGGGAUGAAAGCUGGGGGAGCAAACCGG